GGGAACGGCAUCCGGAACUGUCAGGCUAGAGUGCAGGAGAGGAAGGUAGAAUUCCCGGUGUAGCGGUGAAAUGCGUAGAGAUCGGGAGGAAUACCAGUGGCGAAGGCGGCCUUCUGGACUGACACUGACACUGAGGUGCGAAAGCGUGGGUAGCAAACAGGAUUAGAUACCCUGGUAGUCCACGCCGUAAACGAUGUCGACCAGCCGUUGGGUGCCUAGCGCACUUUGUGGCGAAGUUAACGCGAUAAGUCGACCGCCUGGGGAGUACGGCCGCAAGGUUAAAACUCAAAUGAAUUGACGGGGGCCCGCACAAGCGGUGGAGCAUGUGGUUUAAUUCGAUGCAACGCGAAGAACCUUACCUACUCUUGACAUCCUGCGAACUUGUGAGAGAUCACUUGGUGCCUUCGGGAGCGCAGAGACAGGUGCUGCAUGGCUGUCGUCAGCUCGUGUUGUGAAAUGUUGGGUUAAGUCCCGUAACGAGCGCAACCCUUGUCCUUAUUUGCCAGCGGGUAAUGCCGGGAACUCUAAGGAGACUGCCGGUGACAAACCGGAGGAAGGUGGGGACGACGUCAAGUCAUCAUGGCCCUUACGAGUAGGGCUACACACGUGCUACAAUGGCCGGUACAAAGGGUUGCGAGCUCGCGAGAGUCAGCUAAUCCCGAAAAGCCGGUCUCAGUCCGGAUCGGAGUCUGCAACUCGACUCCGUGAAGUCGGAAUCGCUAGUAAUCGUGAAUCAGAAUGUCACGGUGAAUACGUUCCCGGGCCUUGUACACACCGCCCGU
rnacentral:rRNA from 1 species